GUUUGGUUCUUAGAAGUGAGAGUAUGAAGCUCAUCUAACUUUUAAGUCUAGGUUGGUAGAUAUUUCCUUAUUUUACAGCUUAUCCUUUAGUCCACCGUUAUUUAUCAUAGUUAUCUUGCAGAUUGUGUUCUAUUUACCUCAUCUUAUCCAAUUACUACCGUGGAGUCUGUUGCAGGUGCAACAGGCUCAAUCCUAGAAAAUCAAGUUUGAACAUUUUAUGCUUCAGUUUUUAGAUAGCUUGCACUAUAUUCCAAGGAGGCAAAUGUAACCAAUUUGUAUACUAAAUUUCCCUUUUGAAUUGCCCUGUUCUCUUGAUGGGUACUUGGAUGCUGGUUUUGUACCAUUUGUCGCUUUGGACAUCUAUAUAUUGCCCACAAUGAAAUUUUUUUAUUGUGUUUACUGGCUCAUAUGACUGAAUAUUAUUUAGAAAUGGGGACACAUACGCUGG
rnacentral:misc_RNA from 1 species